CCUACGGGUGGCAGCAGUGAGGGAUAUUGGUCAAUGGCCGUAAGGCUGAACCAGUCAAGUAGCGUGAGGGAAGACUGCCCUAUGGGUUGUAAACCUCUUUUAUGCGGGGGUAAAGGUGUCCACGUGUGGAUGUUUGCAGGUACCGCAUGAAUAAGGACCGGCUAAUUCCGUGCCAGCAGCCGGGGUAAUACGGAAGGACCGGGCGUUAUCCGGAUAUAUUGGGGUGAAAGGGAGCGUAGGCCGGUCUUUAAGCGUGCCGUGAAAUUUUGUGGCCCAACCAUGGGAGUGUGUCGCGAACUGGAUACCUUGAGUGCGCGGAAGGCAGGCGGAAUUCGUGGUGUAGCGGUGAAAUGCUUAGAUAUCACGAAGAACCCCGAUUGCGAAGGCAGCCUGCCGCAGCGUUACUGACGCUGAAGCUCGAAAGCGCGGGUAUCGAACAGGAUUAGAUACCCGGGUAGUC
rnacentral:rRNA from 1 species